CCUACGGGAGGCAGCAAGAGGGGAAUUUUCCGCAAUGGGCGAAAGCCUGACGGAGCAACGCCGCGUGAGGGAUGAAGGCCUCUGGGCUGUAAACCUCUUUUAUCAAGGAAGAAGAUCUGACGGUACUUGAUGAAUAAGCCACGGCUAAUUCCGUGCCAGCAGCCGCGGUAAUACGGGAGUGGCAAGCGUUAUCCGGAAUUAUUGGGCGUAAAGCGUCCGCAGGCGGUUUUACAAGUCUGUCGUUAAAACGUGGAGCUUAACUCCAUUUCAGCGAUGGAAACUGUAGAACUAGAGUGUGGUAGGGGCAGAGGGAAUUCCCGGUGUAGCGGUGAAAUGCGUAUAUAUCGGGAAGAACACCAGCGGCGAAGGCGCUCUGCUGGGCCAUAACUGACGCUCAUGGACGAAAGCCAGGGGAGCGAAAGGGAUUAGAUACCCCUGUAGUCCUGGCCGUAAACGAUGAACACUAGGUGUCGGGGGAAUCGACCCCCUUGGUGUCGUAUCCAACGCGUUAAGUGUUCCGCCGGGGAGUACACACGCAAGUGUGAAACUCAAAGGAAUUGACGGGGGCCCGUACAAGCGGUGGAGUAUGUGGUUUAAUUUUAUGCACGCGAAUAUCCUUACUAGGGUUUUGACAUCCUGCGA
rnacentral:rRNA from 1 species